UGCAGAGGGAUUAGCUGCGGCAUCAAACAGAAUCUGUAAAUAACUUGAUAUAUUUUUUUCCCUGAAGGUUGAGCAUUCAGGUAUCACAAAGGUUCUCCCUUGUGGCUACUCCGUAGGCCCUAGAGUGCAGUGUUAUGAAGGUGUACCUUGCCACAUCUGAUUGCAAGCAGGAGAUAUGUGGGGGUCUAACUUAGUUUUGGGCUACAUUAACUUCCUAUUUGAUAUUACAAAAAUAAUCACCAUAUGAAUUUUCAGUGUUCUCCCCAGAAGAUAUAGCUACGGUUUUAUACAUGGACAGUACAUCUUCGAUUGUUAAGAUUACAUUAAUUGUACGACAAAAUGUAGCAUAGCAGGCAGUAGCAGCUAGAAAAAUGUAGAAAUAUUCAUACUUACCAAUUAAGAAAUCUUUCUAUAGUUGUGAUGGCCUUUCUAAUAUCCUUGUUUACAUGAAUUUUCUAUAAUUGCGAUUGUUGUUGUAUGGUCAUCAUUUGGUGAAGAUUUAUCAAUCGUGUCGUCCAGUCAGAUGUAGCAUACAAGGCGUAGAGAUGAUUUUCUUUUGUUCACAAACUACAUGCCUUUGUUCACAAACUACAGGCCUGAAGAUUUAUCAAUCGUGUCGUCCAGUCAGAUGUAGCAUACAUGCCUUCAUCAUACAUGAAUGUUUAGAUAUCUGAAAGCAUGUAAGCAGACGUGCGUGCACGUGUCCGCUUACUAGUAGCUCCACAAUUAUACUAACUAAAUACGGAUUAUUUGCUAACCGUGUGCACUUGCUGAUUACCAUUACCGAUAAGGCUGAAAUUCCACCACCAUGAGAAUCUUUCAGACCCCAUUUUCUUUUUUCUCCUCAACCCGCCAGCCUCGGAGCCGCCUCCUCCUCCUUCCCUUCCCCUGCGGGUGCCGCCGCCGACCCCCCACGCGACCACGCACCGCCACCGCCGAUCCCCACCACGCGACCACGCAUUCCGAUCGCGACCCGACGCCGCUGCCGAUCCCCGCCCGAGACCAGCCGAGCCGCUCGCGACACGCCGCCAUCUCGUCCCGUCGGGACCCAAACUCCGCGAGGUCCCAGGCCUCGACGCGCCGUCGUCACUCCGGUCCACCCCCCGCCGCGCGUCCCGAUGGCGCCGUCGACGGCUCGCCGCUCCGGCCCGGCCCCUGCGCGUCAUCGUCUUCCGCUCCUACAUAGGCCUCCAAUCCUACCUGGUAGGGAAUUAAUGGACACUUCGCGCCCUCGCCCAGAUCUGCAGCGUUUGGCUGGCUCUGAUCGGUGGCUCCUGUGCAAUUGGUGAUCAGCUGCUGCAGUGUUUUGUUCUGAAAUUCUAAUCUCCCUGUCACCUCGAAAUGUCUGAUCCCCAGCCACCUCCAGGCAUGCAAAUUCUAAAAUUCUAAUCUCCCUAUCUGUAGUGCUUUGUUCUACGAUUGCCCUGUGGUGGCGUGCGUGGUUUGUGUUCUUAACACAGAAGGAGGCAUGAUAGUUUGUUGCACCGAGGAUUGUUUAGAAAACAGAAAUUGUAAUCUUAUUCCUUUUACUGCUAUGUUUGUUACAUGGAGACGAUCAGGAUGUUGACAUGGAGCAGCAGCAGCCAAGUGACCAUUCUUCUGAUUUUGACCCCAAUAUUUCUGUUGCAUAGAGCAGCAGCCUUCUAUGGAUCCAUGUCUCAUGUCCUAUGUACUGAACUAUUGAUACACUACUGUUGUCUCUCUCCAAGUUAUGUAUUUACUGCUGCCAUAAUUUUUAUUUUUCACAAAGCCGCUAUCUGACAUAGCUGCGCUAUAGCCCCGUUGUAGCUGUUUAGCUGCUUGAAAAAUGUUUCCGCUGUACUGCAUAGCCCGCUAUUUAAAAUCAUGAUGCUGCAUAAGUUAGGAAGUACUAGCUUUUUGGAGUUGUUCGUUAAUAGGUAUUUACAUGCUUUUCACUGGGAGACAGACUUUGUGCAAUUUUAGAAAUUUUAGAGCCUAGGUAUUCAACUUCCAUCAUGCUCUUAUCCAUACAAGCAGUGCAAAUAAAAUGGACCUGACUCUCCCUUUCUUUCUUCUACAAAUCAGGAGUGCUUUUUUUUCUAAGGCUGAUCAUGAAAUUGUUACUAACUCUGAAGCUAAUAUUCUGAAUUUGAUGUAGUCGGAUGCCCGAUCGAUCUUUGUUCAUAGCAACCAGUUUUAAGCUCUGCCAUUUUGUGUGAAUGAUAUUGUAUUUGACAAGGUGGACAAGGGCUGCUGAUCCAACUAUGAAGCCUUGACAAUAAAGGUAAACUAUGCUUACAUUGUGUGAUUGGUUAAAUGACCAUACCCUGUGUUGUAUACCUGUGUUUACCAUCCACAAACUCUUCUGUAUUUCUUAUAUAAAGAAAAGAUUUACUCCUGGCCUUAUUGUAUUAGUAAUACUAGGAAGUAUCUGAUGGUGGAAGAAGUUUUUUGGUAACCUAUCCACUAUAUAUAGAAAGUUCAGUGUGCCAAAUUUCAAUUAUCAAAUGAGGGUGCAUGUCACCAUUUGAAACUUGGUAAUGCUCAACCUCUGUUCUCAAUGACAACCGUAUAAAUUUUUUUGUGUCAACUGUAAAACAUCUGCACUGUUUGCUGAAUCCUUAGUUUUGUAACUAUCAAGAUAGAUACUGAACCAUCUGCAUACGAGUCUACUUCACCUGAACGUAAAAUAUGUGUCAACUGUAAAACAUCUGCACUGUUUGCUGAAUCCUUGGUUUUGUAACUAUCAAGAUAGAUACCGAACCAUCUGCAUACGAGUGCUUUUGUUCAGUGUCAGAUCAGCCUAUUUUAUAUUACUCAUUAUUAAAAAGAGUUGGCUGGGGUAGUUGAGUUGUAGAAGUUCUGAUUUGCACAAUUUCCAUUUUGUAUGUCAAUAGGGAUCCUGAUUGAUGGUUGAGCAAUAUUUUUUUACCUGACUUAUUUUUUUUUGGUAACCUAUGCUGUUGUACCUGAUUACGGGGACUUACUAUAGCUAAAAUGACAUAUAUGGAGAAGGGAGUAAGGUUUAUUGCUGAAAAGAACCAGGUUGGACAUUAUUACUCUAACAAGCCAGCCAUUGGAGUAAGAGAGAGUACAUGCACAUUAUAUUCAACAAAAGGAGAUCAGAGAGUACAUGCACAUUAUAUUCAACAAUACGUAUUCCAACAGAAUAAAUGAAUAUGGAUAAAGGUAAAUAUUUAAAGCCUGAUGAAAUAUCACCCCCACUGCUUCAAGUAAUUUAGCUUGCUUAAUUUUUUAGGGAAGAGUUCAUUGAUUUGAUUCGGCAAUAACUGCUUAUUGAGAAAAAUCUAACUUGGAUAAGGACCCCUCUGCUCUCUCUGAAUCCUGUUUUGACUGUUCAUAUAUUAUCACUGUUGGCUUCAGACUUUCAGUUGCCAAAAAAUCACAUCAUUCGAGGCUAACUGGCAUAUAGAGAAUUAGCAAUUUUGUGCUUGCGGUCCUUCAGUACCUGAGUAAGGACCUAAUAGCUAUCUUAAAUGUGUGCAGUCCCUUUAUUUUUCUGUCUUAGCUUGCUAGCUGCUUCUAAAUUCUGAGAGUUGAAUGCAUCUAUGAAUUGGCAAUGCAUAGUGAACUCCUUCAUGCUCAUCUGGAAAGAGGGAACAAAAAAACUUGUAGCUAUUUCUUUUUGGAGAUACGCGUUAGCUUUCUAUAGUUCUGUCAAAACUCCCAUUAGCUGACCAUGAUAGUUGCUUUUUUUAUCCUGGAAAUCAAUCCAUACAAAAUGUUUCUGAAACUCGUGUCGUUAAGUUCUACAUUUUCUGAGUUUAGAGUUGGUGUAAAAUAAGGGAUGACGUGGUGUUUGUAUCAUAAUUGUUUAUGAUACUGACAUAAAUGGUUAGGAGAUUUGGAUUUCUAAUAUCUGGAAAUAUCUUUGUACUAAGAUGUGUUAUUGGUAAUGGUGACUUGGGAAUUCCAAAUGCUUGCCGUUGUUUCCCAUCCCGAGUCAAGUAGGGAAGACUACUUAUUUUAAAAAAGUGGUCUUACGGAGUACAUUGGUACUUUCAGCAGAGCGUAAUUGAGGCCUUGGGUUCAUGUUAUGCAAUUUUUUCUUGGAAAUUCCGCUGUAAACCUUAAUCUUGUAUCCUUAUUGGUUCAGAUUUGAUGAUUUUGGAUAUUGUCUAUGUUCAAAUGAGAUUGAUUUGACUUUGGUGUAUAAUGGUGCAUUUUUUUAAAUGGUCAUCAUGGUUCAGAUUUGAUGAUUUUAUGAAGAAAGUUUGGGCAUUGUGUGUGUGUGUGGGGGGGGGGGGGGCAACUUUAGCAUUUUGGCUUAAAAAUAAAUAAGAGAGACAAAAAAACCUGUAGAAAGAACAAGUCAUCGUAUAAAAAAGGUAGAAUUUGAGUUGUCACGUAUUGUGAAUACGUGCGUUGCACGUGCAAGCUCACUAGUAUUAAAAGUUGGGUUUAUGUUUUGUAUUAAGUUGUGAUAAUUUAGAGACGGUUUAUUUAGCUUUUCUUUGAUUUAUAUAUUAACUUGGUUAUGAAUAAAUUUAAUGAAUGUUUCAAGUGGUAUGUACUCCGUAUAUUAUUUUCAUUGGUCAUAUGGUUUUUAGCAAGUACAUCUAACCAAAUUGUAGCCAUGGAUGUUGAGAUGAGCUUACGAACAACUUGGCAGCCGCCAUGCCUCCUCGUCGACUGACUCGACCUUCCCCAUGAGCUCCCAAAGGAGGUAGUCCGGGGCUGGAGAUGAGCUGUAUAUGUCAGCCUACAUAUCGCAGCGCCCCUUCCCCUGAAACUCGGCCCGAUCCGACCACCGAAGCUGCACACUUUUUUCGCCUUAUGUGCCUCAGCCUCCUCGUUCCCCGCCACCACACACACGCUCGGGCUGCCCGUGUUCCCUGCACCCGCCAUGUCGUAUGAUAGAGAAGAUGGGAGUCGGCGGAGAGUGCCUGCAUGGUUUGAGAUGAAAACGUGGAGAAAACUCGGCGGUCGAGGAAGCACACAUGGUUGUGACUCAAACGUUCCUGAAUGUGUGGAAGGGACCUUGACGACAAGAGGCAUGCCCUAAUAGGUGGGCCACUCAUCGAGAAACGGGGCAGAAGGAGACAGCAGGGCUCUCCUUGCAUCAAUUAUGCCCGGCAUACAUAUUGAAAAGAUUAAUUUAGUAAGGAGGUUUCCUAUCUUCCAAUGGUAGGUGCACCUCAAAGUUGUUUUUUUCUUUCUUUUUUUUUUGGUCGGUUCUUAUGUUAUGUAUUUGUAUCCUUUUUGCGUGCCAAGCUAUGAAUUCAGCACUUGUCAUCAUCACUCUAUCCUCCAUGAAAACUAGCUAAAAGCACAUGCGUUGCUAUAGAAAUAUUAAUCAAUCUAGUCAAUUAUAAAGAA